ensembl:lncRNA
CAAAAAUCUGUUUUUAAUAAAACUUAAUCUUUUUUGUUCUUCAGACUACAAAAAAUGCUUUUUAUGUGUUGUUUAUUUGCUUCAGAGAGGCUCUUCAAUCUCUACAACGAGAGGUGAAACGACUGAAGGAGAGACUAGAGGGAAAUCUGAGACUCUCCAAACCUGCCAGUCCUGUUAGAGUGCCCACUUCUGCCACAGAAGAUGCCAGGGAUCAGGCAUCCCCACGGACCGCAAGGUCUUCAGACAGGAGAAGGCGGCAGACAGAGAGAGUGAGGAAUGAAGAACAAGAGAGAGGAAACUCAACAAGACGCACUCUGAAGCAAAAAUCUGUGUCUUUACCUCAACAUCGGCCUCAAACUGAUCUGACAAGUGACUCUGAGCUUGUCCAGUCUGAGCCACGACCAUCAACAUUCAGACAUGUCCUGGUGUCCCCAGUGACAUCAAGAGGAAGAAGAGAAACCAGAGGAUGUGUACAUCACAAAGAGGACAGUACCUGUAAGGAAAGAUCUUUGUUGUAACUCAACAUGACAUGACCAGGUUUUAGUAUGAUGAUCAAUGACAAAUUGUAGUCAUUUUAAUUGAACAUCAGCAGGCAUAUCCAACAACAGUGAUGAAACCGAAUCAAGCCGAGGGCCAGAACCUGCCUGCCCACAUUGCAUAUCAGACCGCACUGGUACUUUGACACGUAAGCAUCUUAACAUGGUAAUGGGGGCUAAAGUUUACUGAACUUACAAUUUCAUGAACUAUCCUCCUGUCCUUUACACUAUUAAUAAAAGCUCCAGUGAGGAGUAGGAGCUCUCCACAUCUCAAACAGCCUUCCUGCAACCAUUGCCCAUUGUGUGGUGCAUUACAAGCCAAUCAAAGACCCUCUCAAUCAGGUUUGAUAAUUCAUUAUCUAUAAACUAGUUUUUUUAUAGUUCGUACUGAAGAUGUAAAGUAUUCGCCUAAUACAACUUGUAUCACCAAGAAUAAUGUUGACUCUCAAAUGUGUGUUUAUUUAGCCAAUCAGAUGCCAGUCUCGAACCCCGGAGGGAGUCAGCCAAUGAGAUCCUUACAGAGGGACAAAAGAGGUGUAAAUGUGACUUGUCCCCCCACAGUCCUGGGAGGUGUUCCAGUUGUCCCAUAUGUUCCUGUCUGUCCUUCAGCUCUUUACUUCUCCAGCCCUGUGAUGACACAGGCCUACUCACAACCCUUUAACAUCUCAGUCAGCCCUGUCAGAGAUGAGAGGCCAGGAGUCAGAGGUCAUCACAGACGCUCUCUCUCUUUGGGCCAUCAGCAGAACUCUCUAAACAGCUCUCUGACCCGCGCCAUCACGGCAGCUAGAAACAUGAGAGAGGGCUCACAUCGCAUGGCUCACUCUCUGGCCUCAGGACUACACAGCACUAGCUUCCUCACCACAUCCUGCACCUACUGA